rnacentral:rRNA from 1 species
GACGAACGCUGGCGGCGUGCUUAACACAUGCAAGUCGAACGGGCCCGCUCUCUUUUUUGGGGGUGGGUUGAGUGGCGAACGGGUGAGUAUCACGUGAGUAACCUGCCCCCUGCUCCUGGAUAACUGCUUGAAAGGGCGGCUAAUACGGGGUGUGCCGGCUGGUCCGCAUGGGCCUGGUCGGGAUAGUUUCAUCUUCGGGUGUUUCGGUGGGGGAUGGGCUCGCGGCCUAUCAGCUUGUUGGUGGGGUGAUGGCCCACCAAGGCGGUGACGGGUAGCCGGCCUGAGAGGGUGGGCGGCCACACUGGGACUGAGACACGGCCCAGACUCCUGCGGGAGGCAGCAGUGGGGGGUAUUGCGCAAUGGGCGGAAGCCUGAUGCAGCGACGUCGCGUGAGGGAUGGAGGCCUUCGGGUUGUGAACCUCUUUCUCCGGUGGUGAAGGCCCUGUCCGUUGCGGCGGGGUUGACGGUAGCCGGGUAUGAAGCGCCGGCUAACUACGUG